rnacentral:rRNA from 1 species
AGAGAUGGGCUUGCGGCACAUUAGUUAGUUGGUAAGGUAACGGCUUACCAAGACUAUGAUGUGUAGCUGGACUGAGAGGUUGAACGGCCACAUUGGGAUUGAGAUACGGCCCAAACUCCCACGGGAGGCAGCAGUAAGGAAUUUUCGGCAAUGGAGGAAACUCUGACCGAGCAACGCCGCGUGAACGAUGAAAUAUUUAGGUAUGUAAAGUUCUUUUAUUAAAGAAGAAAAAAUGAUGGAAAAAUCAUUCUGACGGUAUUUAAUGAAUAAGCCCCGGCUAACUAUGUGCCAGCAGCUGCGGUAAUACAUGGGGGGCAAGCGUUAUCCGGAUUUAUUGGGCGUAGAGGGUGUGUAGGCGGUUUAAUGAGUCUAUGGUAUAAGUUCAACGCUUAACGUUGUGAUGCUAUGGAAACUGUUUGACUAGAGUUGGAUAGAGGCAAGUGGAAUUCCAUGUGUAGCGGUAAGAUGCGUAAAUAUAUGGAGGAACACCAGUAGCGAAGGCGGCUUGCUGGGUCUUAACUGACGCUGAGGCACGAAAGCGUGGGGAGCAAACAGGAUUAGAUACCCUGGUAGUCCACGCCGUAAACGAUGAGUACUAAGUGUUGGGUUAAACCAGUGCUGAAGUUAACACAUUAAGUACUCCGCCUGAGUAGUACGUACGCAAGUAUGAAACUUAAAGGAAUUGACGGGACUCCGCACAAGCGGUGGAUCAUGUUGUUUAAUUCGAAGAUACACGAAAAACCUUACCAGGUCUUGACAUACUCUGCAAAGCUAUAGAAAUAUAGUGGAGGUUAUCAGGGAUACAGGUGGUGCAUGGUUGUCGUCAGCUCGUGUCGUGAGAUGUUGGGUUAAGUCCCGCAACGAGCGCAACCCUUAUCGCUAGUUACCAUCAUUUAGUUGGGCACUUUAGUGAGACUGCCAAUGAUAAAUUGGAGGAAGGUGGGGAUUACGUCAAAUCAUCAUGCCCCUUAUGACCUGGGCUACAAACGUGAUACAAUGGCUGUUACAAAGAGUAGC